rnacentral:piRNA from 1 species
UAUUCACAGCUGAACUCAACCUCUGUAUGGAU